AGCGUAGGCGGUCAAGCAAGUCAGGGGUGAAAGGCAUCGGCUCAACCGAUGUAAGCCUUUGAAACUGUUUGACUUGAGUGCAGGAGAGGAAAGUGGAAUUCCUAGUGUAGCGGUGAAAUGCGUAGAUAUUAGGAGGAACACCAGUGGCGAAGGCGACUUUCUAGACUGUAACUGACGCUGAGGCUCGAAAGCGUGGGGAGCGAACA
rnacentral:rRNA from 1 species